CCAGAUGUAAACGACGUUUCGUACUUAAUUUGUUCUUUAUGUGUGACGAAUGCCGCACCUUGAUUUCAUAUUUUGAGAGAAAAACGAUUUUUUAAAAAAGUUGACAAAAUGUUAUCAUUAAAACAAUGGUUUUUGUAUGUUUGUAUCGUAAUUAUUUUAAUUGAUAAUGUUCAAGGUGAAUCUAACAAAAACACAACUAAAAGCAAUUCUCAAACAAAACCUCAAAAAAUCGAAACUAAGGAAUCAAAAAAAACUGCUAUCCCGUGGUACAAACAUUCAUAUGCGAAGAGGCUUGAAUUCAUAUCAAGAAUGUUGCUAAGAAUUGCAUCAGCUGUAUUUAUGAUUUAUAUAGAAGAGUUUUUACUCUUUAUUCCAUUUAUUAAUAUGAUAUACGUACCCAUUGUCUAUGUGAUUCGAAAACUAUUUUAUGGUGUUUAAUUUCUUGUGAUGACAUGUAACAUUAAUUUGAAGAAUUAAAUGAUUUUAUAGCAAA